rnacentral:lncRNA from 1 species
GAAAAUGUGGUAUGAUUGCAAAUAACACAAUGCUCCACAAAUGACCAAUUGACACUGGAAAUUAUUAACUAUGGGUCACCGUACUGCCUACAACAAUGAGCAAAUCCCAUACCGCAUACACAACUAUAAAAGGUCCCGAAAGGACAAAUGUAACACAAUUCAAACUAGAAAAUAAUAAAAAAAAAAAAUUAAUGAAAAACAAAUGUGUGACUCUUUUGCAAACAACAACC